UGGGGAAUCUUGCGCAAUGGGCGAAAGCCUGACGCAGCGAUGCCGCGUGCGGGAAGACGGCCUUCGGGUUGUAAACCGCUUUCAGCAGGGACGAAAUUGACGGUACCUGCAGAAGAAGCUCCGGCCAACUACGUGCCAGCAGCCGCGGUAAGACGUAGGGGGCGAGCGUUGUCCGGAAUUAUUGGGCGUAAAGGGCUCCUAGGCGGUUCAGUAAGUCGACUGUGAAAAUCCAAGGCUCAACCUUGGGACGCCAGUCGAUACUGCUGUGACUCGAGUUCGGUAGAGGAGUGUGGAAUUCCUGGUGUAGCGGUGAAAUGCGCAGAUAUCAGGAGGAACACCAACGGCGAAGGCAGCACUCUGGGCCGAUACUGACGCUGAAGAGCGAAAGCGUGGGGAGCAAA
rnacentral:rRNA from 1 species